UAAAGCUUACACUGAGAAUAGCCGGCGUAUCGUCAUAUAAGAACUGUUGGCCCGACACAAUUUAUUGCAGUGAUGACUUAGACCACGACGAUGGACAUUGAUAUCGGAUCAGAUUCAUCUGGAUUUUGGUCUAAUUUAAUGACUUCUACUGUUUUUUGGCUGCACAAAUUUAUUCAAUGAUCACCAUGACAUCGGAAAUUUGGCCUGUUCUCUCAUCAUCUCCGGAUGUGGGGAAUAUAACAGCAACUUGACGACUUAGCAUCUUAUGGAUUACUAACAUGCUAAGCCGUCAAAAUCGUCUGAAUACCGGUAAGUUUAAAACAUCGCAGAUACACAAUGUGCAUGAGAUGAUUGUACAUAAUUGCGCGGAUUUUCCGGUAACGGUGAUUAGGAAAACAACGGUAUGGCGAAGAAAUAGGUUAGCUUGCGAGAAAUUCAUCAUAAUUCGAAGUAUAGCGGACGUUCAAGCGGCGUUAUGCUCGGCUCAUUUCGCACGAACAUAAUUUUAAUUUGAAAAAGGCAGUUUUUACAGCCGAGUAAUUUGAACUGGCAUGCAUAUAAAAUAGUGUAACGGGCAGUGUUGUAAAAGAUUCACAGAGACGAUUAUGUUGAGAUAAAAAUGACAAUGCAUCAAAGAAAUGGAUUGCAUCCGCAAGAGACUAACCGUAACGGUCAAGUAUCCUAGCAAUUUUCUCGGCGCUGCCGACUUUCUAGAACGACGUUGAUGCAAAACCGUUGAAACGAAACCGCACGUGUUUUAUUCUAGCUUUAAUUGCAAAUAUCUUCUUAGCUGUACUUUACGCUGACUAUAACCAUAGAAAAACGUAAAAUAUAGACGUUACCUAUAAGGAGUUCUUGUUGUUCAUCAGGGCAAGUAUCGAUGGAAAAUAAUAUUACUUCUGAUUACUCAUUUUUGUCGGUCAAAGUGAACGGCUAACAAAUUUUAUCUUUAAGCGAUACGUGUCAAACUCGAAUAUCGUAAAACAUUAUGGAACUUAGAAUUAUACCUAAUUUAUACUAAUAAAUCUUUAAACUGGUAUAAAUUGUGAUGGAUACCUGGAGGUUGGCAGCAAUCAAGAUUAAAAAGAAGAUGAACUUAAGUGAUUUUUACAC